rnacentral:rRNA from 1 species
CUACGGGGGGCAGCAGUGAGGAAUAUUGCGCAAUGGGGGCAACCCUGACGCAGCGACGCCGCGUGAGUGAGGAAGGCCUUCGGGUCGUAAAGCUCUGUCAAAGGGAAAGAAGUGCAUGGCGGUUAAUACCUGCCAUGUUUGACGGUACCCUUAAAGGAAGCACCGGCUAACUCCGUGCCAGCAGCCGCGGUAAUACGGAGGGUGCAAGCGUUGUUCGGAAUUACUGGGCGUAAAGGGCGCGUAGGCGGUUUUAUAAGUCAGAUGUGAAAGCCCACGGCUUAACUGUGGAAGUGCAUUUGAAACUGUGAGACUUGAGUACCAGAGGGGAAAGUGGAAUUCCCGGUGUAGAGGUGAAAUUCGUAGAUAUCGGGAGGAAUACCGGUGGCGAAGGCGACUUUCUGGCUGGAUACUGACGCUGAGGCGCGAAAGCGUGGGGAGCAAACAGGAUUAGAUACCCUGGUAGUCCACGCUGUAAACGAUGUCAACUAGAUGUAGGGGGUGUUGAUCCCUUCUGUGUCGCAGCUAACGCAUUAAGUUGACCGCCUG